rnacentral:rRNA from 1 species
UACGAAGGGGGCUAGCGUUGCUCGGAAUCACUGGGCGUAAAGCGUGCGCAGGCGGUUUGUUAAGUCUGCUGUGAAAUCCCCGAGCUCAACUUGGGAAUUGCAGUGGAUACUGGCAGGCUGGAGUAUGGUAGAGGAAGGUGGAAUUCCCGGUGUAGCAGUGAAAUGCGUAGAGAUCGGGAGGAACACCAGUGGCGAAGGCGGCCUUCUGGACCAAUACUGACGCUCAUGCACGAAAGCGUGGGGAGCAAACAGG